UCUUUCGCUUCCACUCCUGGCUGUGGCGCUUCCACAGGAUAUCCCUCUACUACUUCACAGUGCUCCACGGUACCGAUGGUGCUACCUGAAGCCGCUUUGACAAACUGUGCUGGCCCAGCACUGAUCAUUACUCGUGCACAACCGAAGUUGUCAGGCGUCAUAACAGAUUUCUUCGUAGUUAGCCCCGUUGACUUCAGCCAUUGCUGAUCAGCCUGGAACUUCAUUGGUUGGCUUUCCUGGUAAUCUCGUACCUCCACUUGAAAAGAUCGCCCCAUGGCCAGGUAGGAUGCGGUAAGACCCAAUCAUUUGAACACUUGCCAAAGCUGAAUCGAUUGUCGACCCUUUCGUGGAAGGGAAAACCCCUCCAUCAGGGGCAAAGGACACCAACCUCAAUCUCAAGACUGCAUCUAGUCCCAGUAAGUAAGCAAGCAAGACCAAAACAAUGCGCCGCGCAACACAGCAAGCGUUUAGUCCGAAGCCCAAGGCCUUAAACGUACGUUGACGUUACUGCGCGUGCGUCAAUCGGUGAAGUGUUCCUUUAAUGCUCGGCCCCCUUGAACUGGGUUCUCUCACUAAAUAUUCUGGUAUAGAAAAUGAAGUCGUUAGAUUGAUUGUUAAACUGUACGACGGUACAGGUUGUGUUGUACGAAAUGGGGGAAUUUCGUCACGGUUUGAAGUAACCGCAGGUGCCCGUUAAGGGUGUGUGUUGUCUCCAAUCUUGUUUAAUUAGUUUAUGAACAGAAUAAUGAGUGAGACUUUAGACACGGUUAAGGGUGGUGUCAUUGAGAUUGCUUGCAGAACGUAUUGUGGCCUAUUUAUGAACUAUCGAGUAAAACCUAAAGAGACAGAUAAGAUCAAAGCUCCCCUGUAUGUUGAUGAUUUGGCUCUAAUAGGUACGUCAAAUAUAGUGAGUUGCAACAGAUGGUGAAUGCUUUCCAUGACGCUUGUAUGAAAUGGGGUACGAGGAUCGAUUAACACUGAAAGAUCUAAAAUCUUGAGCAUUGGUGUUGAAGAAGCAAACAUCUUGAUAGCUGGUCGUGUUCUGGAAAGUGUUUUUGUUUUUUGCUAUCUGGGUAGCAUUGUGACUAAGUUUGGAAAUAGUCACACAGAGGUUUUUGGACGUAUUCAGAAAGCUAACAGGACAUUUUGUUCUUGCAAACUUACAGUUUUUUGCAAACCGGGGAUUUAGCAGAACACAAAACUGCGAGUUUCUAAAUCACUAGUGAUGUCGGUUUUGUAGAUGCGGUUGUGAAACUUGGGCAAUCACUCAAGUAGAUAUUCGAAGACUGACCACUUUUCACAUGCGCUCUAUUAGAUCUAUCUUGGGUGUAACAAGACUAGCUGAACAAGAUAAGAAAUACCCAACUUCAAAUCUGCCAAGGAAGAACCAAUGAACGUCAACUUCAGCAUCAAAUAUUACAGUGGCUUGGUCACUUAAAACUGAUGACCAUCUUUUGUCCACAAACGUUGUUGCUGAGAAGCGAGUUACGUAAUAUGAAACGUCCUCAGCAUGGUCCAAAGAACAGGUGGGUUGAUACCAUACAACGAGACCUGGUAUCAUUGAAUAUUGGCCUGUCACAAGCAAAUGACCACUUCUGCGAUGGAGAGUCCAUAGUGGGUAUUGGCGGAAUUCCAGGUUCCAGACUUAAAACCCAGUGAGUUCAAGAUGCAUGCAUUGGAGAAGGAGAAUAGCUGUCUGUUUUCAAAGGGCAAACUCGUCAGUCAUUCAAAACAAGGUGUCUGCCGUCGUUGAAAAGUGUGUCAAAAGCAGUGAUGCUGCUUUGCCAUUUCAGCAAGAUACUUUGCUAGUGACUUUACUAUGUACUCGACUGCUUCUAUGACAUGUCCAGAUCUCUUGGAUUUCAUUGCCGGAAAGAGUUGACGGCGCAAUUCGAGAAUAAGCAACUUCCGGAUAUUGCCUUAUACAACUAUAGAGAUGGAAAAAGCUCCUUUUAGACGUACCCAUUACUCACCCCUUGGCAAAACGGUCAAUCAGUUCCAGUUGUAGUAAACCUGGUUUCGCUGCAGCUAAGAAGGAUAGGGAGAAAGAUCGCAAAUACCUUGUAAAGUCAACAAAUCUUGGGUACUUGUUUUGUCCCAUUGCCUUGGAGGUAUACGGUCGCUGGGGAAACAAAGCAAAGGAGACACUAGAAGAACUAUCAAAGUCGUGUCUUCUGUGUUCAGACCUAGAACCCAACGAGUUCAAGAUACAUUGGAGAAGGAGAGAAGGAGAAUAGCUGUCUGUCUUCAAAGGGCCAACUCGUCAAUCAUCCAAAACAAGGUGUCUGCCAUCGUUGAAAAGUGUGUCAAAAACAGUAAUGCUGCUUAUACUAUUUCAGCAAGAUACUUUGCUAGUGACUUUACGUAAGUAGUUGUAUGGUUUUCGUGUGGUUUUAGGGUGGAGUUAUGUAGUAGAGUUGCCUGUUUUACAUGUUUCCUUGUAUGUUAUUCUAGUAUUAUUCUAUCCUUACUGUGCUUACUAAAUUAGCUACUAACAUUUGUGAUUACCUUUUCUGAGUUGAUAUAAAAGUGAGUGAGUGAGUGAGUGAGUGAGUGAUUUAGUGAUCAAAA